UUAUGGCCACAUCAUGUUGAAACACCAGUUCCCGUACGAUCAAACAAGUUAAGCAAUGUUGAGCCUGGUCAGUAUCUAAAUGGAUGACCGCUCAGGAAAUAUCGGUGCUGUAAG